UAGGGAAUCUUCGGCAAUGGGGGGAACCCUGACAGAGCAACGCCGCGUGAGUGAAGAAGGUUUUCGGAUCGUAUAGCUCUGUUGUUAAGGAAGAACGAGUGUGAGAAUGGAAAGUUCAUGCUGUGACGGUACUUAACCAGAAAGGGACGGCUAACUACGUGCCAGCAGCCGCGGUAAUACGUAGGUCCCGAGCGUUGUCCGGAUUUAUUGGGCGUAAAGCGAGCGCAGGCGGUUAGAAAAGUCUGAAGUGAAAGGCAGUGGCUCAACCAUUGUAGGCUUUGGAAACUGUUUAACUUGAGUGCAGAAGGGGAGAGUGGAAUUCCAUGUGUAGCGGUGAAAUGCGUAGAUAUAUGGAGGAACACCGGUGGCGAAAGCGGCUCUCUGGUCUGUAACUGACGCUGAGGCUCGAAAGCGUGGGGAGCGAACAGG
rnacentral:rRNA from 1 species